UUAAGUGACUAAGCGUACACGGUGGAUGCCUUGGCAGUCAGAGGCGAUGAAAGACGUAGUAACUUGCGAUAAGCCCAGAUUAGGUAGUAACAACCAUUUGAGUCUGGGAUUUCUGAAUGGGGAAACCCACUUACAUAAGUAAGUAUCAUUAACUGAAUACAUAGGUUAAUGAGGCGAACCGGGGGAACUGAAACAUCUAAGUACCCCGAGGAAAAGAAAUCAACCGAGAUUCCGAAAGUAGCGGCGAGCGAAAUUGGACUAGCCCUUAAGCUUUACACGCGUUAGACGAACGGUCUGGAAAGUCCGACGAUACAGGGUGAUAGUCCCGUAGUUGACGACGUGUGUUCAGUGAAAUCGAGUAGGGCGGGACACGUGAUAUCCUGUCUGAAUAUGGGGGGACCAUCCUCCAAGGCUAAAUACUACUGACUGACCGAUAGUGAACCAGUACCGUGAGGGAAAGGCGAAAAGAACCCCUGUGAGGGGAGUGAAAUAGAACCUGAAACCGUGUACGUACAAGCAGUAGGAGCAGGCUUGUCCUGUGACUGCGUACCUUUUGUAUAAUGGGUCAGCGACUUAUAUUCAGUGGCAAGGUUAACCAUCUAGGGGAGCCGUAGGGAAACCGAGUCUUAACUGGGCGUUCAGUCUCUGGAUAUAGACCCGAAACCAGGUGAUCUAGCCAUGGGCAGGUUGAAGGUUGAGUAACAUCAACUGGAGGACCGAACCGACUAAUGUUGAAAAAUUAGCGGAUGACUUGUGGCUAGGGGUGAAAGGCCAAUCAAACCUGGAGAUAGCUGGUUCUCCCCGAAAGCUAUUUAGGUAGCGCCUCGGACGAAUACUACUGGGGGUAGAGCACUGUUAAGGCUAGGGGGUCAUCCCGACUUACCAACCCUUUGCAAACUCCGAAUACCAGUAAGUACUAUCCGGGAGACACACGGCGGGUGCUAACGUCCGUCGUGGAGAGGGAAACAACCCAGACCGCCAGCUAAGGUCCCAAAUUACUACUAAGUGGGAAACGAUGUGGGAAGGCUCAGACAGCCAGGAUGUUGGCUUAGAAGCAGCCAUCAUUUAAAGAAAGCGUAAUAGCUCACUGGUCGAGUCGGCCUGCGCGGAAGAUGUAACGGGGCUAAGUAGUAAACCGAAGCUGCGGCAAUGUGCUUUUGCACAUUGGGUAGGGGAGCGUUCUGUAAGCGGUUGAAGGUGUGUGGUAACGCAUGCUGGACGUAUCAGAAGUGCGAAUGCUGACAUGAGUAACGAUAAAGGGGGUGAAAAACCUCCUCGCCGGAAGACCAAGGGUUCCUGUCCAACGUUAAUCGGGGCAGGGUAAGUCGACCCCUAAGGCGAGGCCGAAAGGCGUAGUCGAUGGGAAACGGGUUAAUAUUCCCGUACUUCUUACAAUUGCGAUGGGGGGACGGAGAAGGCUAGGUGGGCCUGGCGACGGUUGUCCAGGUUCAAGUGCGUAGGCUUAAGAGUUAGGUAAAUCCGGCUCUUUUUAAGGCUGAGACACGACGUCGAGCACCUACGGGUGUGAAGUCAUUGAUGCCAUGCUUCCAGGAAAAGCCUCUAAGCUUCAGAUUGUAAGGAAUCGUACCCCAAACCGACACAGGUGGUCGGGUAGAGAAUACCAAGGCGCUUGAGAGAACUCGGGUGAAGGAACUAGGCAAAAUGGUACCGUAACUUCGGGAGAAGGUACGCUCUUGAUGGUGAAGUCCCUCGCGGAUGGAGCUGACGAGAGUCGCAGAUACCAGGUGGCUGCAACUGUUUAUUAAAAACACAGCACUGUGCAAAAUCGUAAGAUGACGUAUACGGUGUGACGCCUGCCCGGUGCCGGAAGGUUAAUUGAUGGGGUUAGACUUCGGUCGAAGCUCUUGAUCGAAGCCCCGGUAAACGGCGGCCGUAACUAUAACGGUCCUAAGGUAGCGAAAUUCCUUGUCGGGUAAGUUCCGACCUGCACGAAUGGCGUAAUGAUGGCCACGCUGUCUCCACCCGAGACUCAGUGAAAUUGAAAUCGCUGUGAAGAUGCAGUGUACCCGCGGCUAGACGGAAAGACCCCGUGAACCUUUACUACAGCUUGGCACUGAACAUUGACCCUACAUGUGUAGGAUAGGUGGGAGGCUUUGAAGCAAGUACGCCAGUAUUUGUGGAGCCGUCCUUGAAAUACCACCCUUGUAGUGUUGAUGUUCUAACGUCGACCCCUUAUCGGGGUUGCGGACAGUGCCUGGUGGGUAGUUUGACUGGGGCGGUCUCCUCCCAAAGAGUAACGGAGGAGCACGAAGGUGGGCUAAUCACGGUUGGACAUCGUGAGGUUAGUGCAAUGGCAUAAGCCCGCUUGACUGCGAGAAUGACAAUUCGAGCAGGUGCGAAAGCAGGUCAUAGUGAUCCGGUGGUUCUGAAUGGAAGGGCCAUCGCUCAACGGAUAAAAGGUACUCCGGGGAUAACAGGCUGAUACCGCCCAAGAGUUCAUAUCGACGGCGGUGUUUGGCACCUCGAUGUCGGCUCAUCACAUCCUGGGGCUGAAGUCGGUCCCAAGGGUAUGGCUGUUCGCCAUUUAAAGUGGUACGCGAGCUGGGUUUAGAACGUCGUGAGACAGUUCGGUCCCUAUCUGCCGUGGGCGUUGGAAGAUUGAAGGGGGCUGCUCCUAGUACGAGAGGACCGGAGUGGACGAACCUCUGGUGUUCGGGUUGUGUCGCCAGACGCAUUGCCCGGUAGCUAAGUUCGGAAUCGAUAACCGCUGAAAGCAUCUAAGCGGGAAGCGAGCCCUGAGAUGAGUCUUCCCUGAUACUUUAAGUAUCCUAAAGGGUUGUCGGAGACUACGACGUUGAUAGGUCAGGUGUGUAAGUGCUGUGAGGCAUUGAGCUAACUGAUACUAAUUGCCCGUGAGGCUUAACCAU
rnacentral:rRNA from 1 species